rnacentral:rRNA from 1 species
CCUACGGGCGGCAGCAGUGGGGAAUAUUGGACAAUGGGCGAAAGCCUGAUCCAGCCAUGCCGCGUGUGUGAAGAAGGCCUUCGGGUUGUAAAGCACUUUCAGUGGGGAAGAAAGCCUUGGGGCUAAUACCCUCGAGGAAGGACAUCACCCACAGAAGAAGCACCGGCUAACUCCGUGCCAGCAGCCGCGGUAAUACGGAGGGUGCGAGCGUUAAUCGGAAUUACUGGGCGUAAAGCGCGCGUAGGCGGUCUGAUAAGCCGGUUGUGAAAGCCCCGGGCUCAACCUGGGAACGGCAUCCGGAACUGUCAGGCUAGAGUGCAGGAGAGGAAGGUAGAAUUCCCGGUGUAGCGGUGAAAUGCGUAGAGAUCGGGAGGAAUACCAGUGGCGAAGGCGGCCUUCUGGACUGACACUGACGCUGAGGUGCGAAAGCGUGGGUAGCAAACAGGAUUAGAUACCCCGGUCGUC